GGAAGAAAAAUAAAAUAAAAUUCAAGCUGCCGUCUCUGUUUCUUUACCAAAGAAGAAAGGAAAUUUUUUUAAAAGCUUUGAUUUGAAACUAAGGAGAGAAGCAGAAGAAGAUUGAUCGAAGGAAGUCCUACGGAUUGCUUGAGGUGACAAGCUUGGUAAUUCGACACGAGUAUUAGAGCACAGGUGACAUUGGCGAAGAAUUUGUUAACUAAAGCUAGCAAGUUGGCAAAUCCUUGGUGAGCCCACAUUGUUCGCGCGACAUCAAGUUAUUCAUUUUUAUGGACCUUUUUUGAACUCUUAGAGUUGCUCCAUAGUCAUUCCUUUAUUUGAGCGAAGUGAGAGGGUCUUUUGGCUUCCUCAGGACCGUGUAAAUCUUAGCUUGCUUUAGCAGCCAUCGCCUGGAAAGAGGCUAGCUAGCCUUUUUCUUUCCUUGCUCAUUAUCAGACAAUCACUUAUUCACAAACUUCGUGUGGCAAAAAUAGUUUUCAUUUCCCAUCUCAUGGAAAAUUCUUUUCUCUCCGCGAACAAAAGACAAAAAAAUGAAGAAAAAUAAUAAAGUUUAUUAUCAUAUAUAUCUUUCUCAUGCAGGAGAGCCCUUGGCACAACGAUCAGGUCAA